rnacentral:miRNA from 3 species
UCUAGGCUGGUACUGCUGA